rnacentral:rRNA from 1 species
UACGGAGGGUGCGAGCGUUAAUCGGAAUUACUGGGCGUAAAGCGCACGUAGGCGGUCGGAUAAGUCGGAUGUGAAAGCCCUGGGCUUAACCUGGGAACUGCAUUCGAUACUGUCUGGCUAGAGUAUGGGAGAGGGAAGCAGAAUUUCCGGUGUAGCGGUGAAAUGCGUAGAUAUCGGAAGGAAUACCAAUGGCGAAGGCAGCUUCCUGGCCCAAUACUGACGCUCAGGCGCGAAAGCGUGGGGAUCAAACAGG